rnacentral:rRNA from 1 species
AAAUUGAAGAGUUUGAUCAUGGCUCAGAUUGAACGCUGGCGGCAGGCCUAACACAUGCAAGUCGAACGGUAGCACAGAGAGCUUGCUCUCGGGUGACGAGUGGCGGACGGGUGAGUAAUGUCUGGGAAACUGCCUGAUGGAGGGGGAUAACUACUGGAAACGGUGGCUAAUACCGCAUAACGUCGCAAGACCAAAGAGGGGGACCUUCGGGCCUCUUGCCAUCAGAUGUGCCCAGAUGGGAUUAGCUUGUUGGUGAGGUAACGGCUCACCAAGGCGACGAUCCCUAGCUGGUCUGAGAGGAUGACCAGCCACACUGGAACUGAGACACGGUCCAGACUCCUACGGGAGGCAGCAGUGGGGAAUAUUGCACAAUGGGCGCAAGCCUGAUGCAGCCAUGCCGCGUGUAUGAAGAAGGCCUUCGGGUUGUAAAGUACUUUCAGCGGGGAGGAAGGUGUUGUGGUUAAUAACCGCAGCAAUUGACGUUACCCGCAGAAGAAGCACCGGCUAACUCCGUGCCAGCAGCCGCGGUAAUACGGAGGGUGCAAGCGUUAAUCGGAAUUACUGGGCGUAAAGCGCAC